GACGAACCGUCCAAACGUUAUUCGGUAUCACUGGGGCUUAAAGCGUGCGUAGGCGGUCUAGUAGGUGAGAUGUGAAAGCCCACGGCUCAACCGUGGAAUUGCGUUUCAAACCACUAGGCUUGAGGAUGGCAGGGGUGAUGGGAACUGAUGGUGGAGCGGUGAAAUGCAUUGAUAUCAUCAGGAACACCGGUGGCGAAGGCGCAUCACUGGGCCAUUUCUGACGCUGAGGCACGAAAGCUAGGGUAGCGAACGGGAUUAGAUA
rnacentral:rRNA from 1 species